UACGGGGGGGGUAAGCGUUGUUCGGAAUUAUUGGGCGUAAAGCGCGUGUAGGCGGCAGUGCAAGUCGGGUGUGAAAGCCCUCAGCUCAACUGAGGAAGUGCGCCCGAAACUGCAUUGCUUGAGUACCGGAGAGGAUGGCGGAAUUCCCGAAGUAGAGGUGAAAUUCGUAGAUAUCGGGAGGAACACCGGUGGCGAAGGCGGCCAUCUGGACGGAUACUGACGCUGAGACGCGAAAGCGUGGGUAGCAAACAGG
rnacentral:rRNA from 1 species